GUAUAUUUUGGUCACGGAUUUGUUUGCUAGGCGAUCGAACUCAAAGGAAGUCAGGCUUAAAAUCCAGUCUACUUUGCUUGAGAAAAGGGUCAAGUCACGUUUGUGAGUGACCUUUACCUUGAUAGGGACCAGGUAUCAAUAUAAAUACAGAAAGCCAAAGCGGCUUCUUUAAAGUUUAAACCUUUACUAGCGCUUUGAGCACAAUUUCUUAACUCAAGUCUAGUCAAAAUGUGCAUGAAAGUGAAAUGCAGCAAAUGCGGAAAAUUUACUUGGCAAGGAUGUGGCCAACAUGCAGAACAAGUAUUGGCAGGUGUUCCUCCAGACCAGAGAUGUAAAUGUCCUAGGAAAUAAAUAGUUUUUAGACAGAUUUAGAAGUUGGCAGCUCAUGAUGAUUAUUUUAACUUUUACCUCAAGCACUCCAGCAACGCACCGUAUCAUGUUAAGUGCAAAACAGAUCUGAUAUAUGAUUCUUAUUUUUUCCAAGUCACAAUAGAACUUAGAACAGAGAUCAAUUUAGAUACCAAUAUCAUCAAAUCUGUUUAAACAAUUUACAACAGCCUAUUUAUUAACAUUUUAAAAGAAAACAAAUGUAAAUAAACAUUUUGCGUCCUUAUA